UACGUAGGGUGCGAGCGUUAAUCGGAAUUACUGGGCGUAAAGCGUGCGCAGGCGGUUAUGCAAGUCAGAUGUGAAAUCCCCGGGCUCAACCUGGGAACUGCAUUUGUGACUGCAUGGCUAGAGUGCGGCAGAGGGGGAUGGAAUUCCGCGUGUAGCAGUGAAAUGCGUAGAUAUGCGGAGGAACACCGAUGGCGAAGGCAAUCCCCUGGGCCUGCACUGACGCUCAUGCACGAAAGCGUGGGGAGCAAACAGG
rnacentral:rRNA from 1 species